UAAGGAAUAUUGGACAAUGGACGCAAGUCUGAUCCAGCCAUGCCGCGUGAAGGAUGAAUGCCCUCUGGGUUGUAAACUUCUUUUAUAGGGGAAGAAAGAUACUUUUUUUAAGGUAGUUGACGGUACCCUAUGAAUAAGCACCGGCUAACUCCGUGCCAGCAGCCGCGGUAAUACGGAGGGUGCAAGCGUUAUCCGGAUUUACUGGGUUUAAAGGGUGCGUAGGCGGAUAUGUAAGUCAGUGGUGAAAUCAACGGGCUCAACCUGUUAACUGCCAUUGAUACUGUGUAUCUUGAAUAUGAGAGAGGUAGGCGGAAUGUUGCAUGUAGCGGUGAAAUGCUUAGAUAUGCUACGGAACACCGAUUGCGAAGGCAGCUUACUAUGUCUUAAUUGACGCUGAGGCACGAAAGCGUGGGUAGCGAACA
rnacentral:rRNA from 1 species